GCCACAUGAUGAACCCUAGAUGUCAUUAGCAUACCGUGCAAAGAUGACUCACAUCUAUCACCCAAGACUGAUGGUU